UACGGGGGGGGCAAGCGUUGUUCGGAAUUACUGGGCGUAAAGGGCGCGUAGGCGGCCAGCACAAGUCAGUUGUGAAAUCUCCGAGCUUAACUCGGAAAGGUCAACUGAUACUGUGCGGCUAGAGUGCGGAAGGGGCAACUGAAAUUCUUGGUGUAGCGGUGAAAUGCGUAGAUAUCAAGAGGAACACCUGCGGCGAAGGCGGGUUGCUGGGCCGACACUGACGCUGAGGCGCGAAAGCCAGGGGAGCGAACGGG
rnacentral:rRNA from 1 species